AAUGAACUCAGACUGUGUUUGUUACUCGCACCCCGAGGAAGGCAAAAUAUCCACAACGCGUAGGGGUCACGAUGUGCCCUGGCAUUAUGAUCAGCACUAACACAGCAAACUCCCUUUCAGCUUGCUCUCACAACACCAGGGCCUGCGUGACACGGACAUAAGAGAACUGUGGCAGCAGGGGGCAAUUUCAAAUCGCAUUCCACUCAUCAAACAGUGAGAGAAGGCGAGGAAGGUCACGGUGAGACGGGAUAUGGGAAAGAACAAGGGUUGGUCAUGAUGACUGUUUGAUCCAGGAAUGAGAAAUGGAAACAAGAAAGUGGAUGUCCAUCAGAAGAACGCACAGAAGAAGAUGGGAGGAAGAAAAGACACAAAGAAAGAA